GCUGCCCGGGGGGGACGGCGGUGUGAAGGUCAGCGCCUGCGCCGGGCGGUCUUGGAGCUGGAAGCGCCGGAAAUGUGUCAGAGCGGCAGCCGCGCUUGCUGGUGCGACAAGAACUAGACCCUGAAUGAGUUGUGACAUUUGACAUCUGUGAGCUGACUUCUUGUGACAGAAGUUCUGCAACUCCUGAAAUGAUGAGAGCCUCCGUAAAUACAAGUACACAGAUCAAGUUGAUGAUACUCAAAUGUCACACGGUUGAUGUGUUUGCCACUGGAGACCAUUCGCAGCACAGUGUUGUCAC